rnacentral:rRNA from 1 species
AGAGUUUGAUCCUGGCUCAGAUUGAACGCUGGCGGCAUGGCUAAAACAUGCAAGUCGAACGCGAAAGCCUUCGGGUGAGUAGAGUGGCGAAAGGGCGAGUAACGCGUAUCUAACGUGCCCCGAGGUGGGGGAUAGCGUCGGGAAACCGGCGGUAACACCCCAUAGUCCCACCGGACCGCAUGGCCCGGCGGGUAAAGGUUACGCCUCGGGAUCGGGAUACGUCCUAUCAGCUUGUUGGUGAGGUAAUGGCUCACCAAGGCCGAGACGGGUAGCUGGUGUGAGAGCACGACCAGCCGCAUCGGGACUGAGACACUGCCCGGACUCCUACGGGAGGCUGCAGUAACGAAUAUUCCGCAAUGCGCGAAAGCGUGACGGAGCAAUGCCGCGUGAAGGAUGAAGCCCCUCGGGGUGUAAACUUCUGUCAGGGGCUACCAAGUUCUGAGGAACCCCAAAGGAAGGGCCGGCUAACUUCGUGCCAGCAGCCGCGGUAAUACGAAGGGCCCGAGCGUUAAUCGGAAUCACUGGGCUUAAAGGGUGCGCAGGCGGGCCCGCAAGUAUCUUGUGAAAUCCCACCGCUCAACGGUGGAAUCGCUCGGUAGACUGCGGGCCUUGAGCCCGGCAGAGGUCGUCGGAACGAUAGGUGGAGCGGUGAAAUGCGUAGAUAUCUAUCGGAACGCCAAAGACGAAGGUAGGCGACUGGGCCGGUGCUGACGCUCAGGCACGAAAGCGUGGGUAGCGAACGGGAUUAGAUACCCCGGUAGUCCACGCCCUAAACGUUGUGUACUAGAUCGGGGAGGUUUUGACGCCAUCCCGGUCGAAGCUAAAGCGUUAAGUACACCGCCUGGGGAGUACGGUCGCAAGAUUAAAACUCAAAGGAAUUGACGGGGGC